UGCCCAACAGAAGUGUGAGAGUGUGUGAGAGAGAGAGAGGGAGAGGGAGAGAGAGAGAAAGAGAGGGGGAGAGAGACACCACGCCUUCACAGCAGUGGGAGCAGAGGGAGAGCGCGCGCACCUCGAGUGCCCGGCCCCUCCUUUACGCACGGCAGACAGCUCCCGGCAGACCAGGCGCACUUGGAGACGCGCUCACAGGUUUCGAGUAACCACCGACGCUCCCUGAUGGAAUAAAGAUGUUGCUACUCGUCUUCAGGCACAAGCAAUACAGCAGAUUUCGAACCCAAUCAGACGCAGUGGUACGCGAUGGGACAUGCUGUGUGGAGGCCAGCGGCUGCCGGUGGGGGGUGGUGAAAAGCUCUCCGCCACCUCGUGAUUGGACGACACUUGUACAAAUCCAAACUGUGUUUGAAGGACACACAGACGUGGGAACACCGCAGAAGUGGAGGCCACAGGCAGAGCGAGCGUUCAAGAGCUGAAUUCAUUAAUUGGUGAAACCGCGGCCGCCUCACGAUCCUUGUGAUUGUGUCUCCCCUGUACUUGACAAAUGAACUGGUCACUGGAAAAAGCCUCUGAGAGGAGAAAUGCCUCUUCAACCGCAAGACGGCUGGAAAACAUGGUCAAGAAAGUGAUCCAUUCCGUCAGUGGGCCGGCCAGCGGGACCAACGGGGACCAGCCAUUUGGACGUGAUGGAACAGGAAGGUUAACAAGCCAACAGUGAUUAUCUUUUAGUGUUCCGCCAGAGUUGAUGUUGCCAUGAUGAACAAAUAUGUGUAGGUAAAAUGACACACCGAGGACCAACGGCCUCCUUCACUGUCCUCCAUGGAUUACUUUGCUCUUCAAUAACUUAAUAUGCUGUUAGGGAUGGAUCAUAAAAUCCGAGAAAUCCCAUCUCAUACACAGCUGUAGUAAUUCUUUGCCACAUCUUAACAGUGGAGGAAAUGGGACAAGAAAUCUUCCCCUUGUAUCAGGAGGAGGUGAGUGCUGGAUAUUUUUCUUAACUUUUAACUGCAACUGUAAUCGUCACCAUAAUUUGCACUGGAACCUUUGUAGCCAUGGUAUUGUAGCAGGGCAAAGGCUGUGGCAAUGACAGUUGAUUACUUUGUUCAACAUUUGGUCCAGACUGAAAUACAGUAUCUCUUUAAAUAUUCUGGAUUGCCAUCGGCCUUCAGAAUAACUUUGAUGAUCGUCACAUUUUCCUCCAGCAUCAUUGAGG